UCGUGGAGUGAUUUGUCUGCUUAAUUGCGAUAACGAACGAGACCUUAACCUGCUAAAUAGCCAGGCUAGCUUAGGCUGGUCGCCGGCUUCUUAGAGGGACUAUCGGCUCAAGCCGAUGGAAGUUUGAGGCGAUAACA
rnacentral:rRNA from 1 species